rnacentral:rRNA from 1 species
UACAGAGGUCCCAAGCGUUGUUCGGAUUCAUUGGGCGUAAAGGGUGCGUAGGCGGUGCCGUAAGUCGGAUGUGAAAUCCCGGAGCUUAACUCCGGAACUGCAUUCGAUACUGCGGUGCUUGAGGACUGGAGAGGAGAUUGGAAUUCACGGUGUAGCAGUGAAAUGCGUAGAUAUCGUGAGGAAGACCAGUGGCGAAGGCGGCGACCUGGGCCAAUACUGACGCUGAGGUGCGAAAGCGUGGGGAGCAAACAGG